AAUGUGUUCAUGAUACAAAACGUUUUGAACAUGAAUUUGUCAAAACCAAAGAAAAAUGAAAGAGCAAAGGACUGUACAUCAACAUUGCACCCAGCUAUGCACAACUUUACAUUAUACUACAACUAUGUCCGUUACCGUCCUGCUGAUAAUUAUAAAAACAAAACAAUGUUUCUGACUAUUUCUCAACUUUGUCAUAGCUGUCAUCUGUUAGCUUCCUGAUUUCACACAGGCAACACCAUUGCUACCAUAACAACUACUGUAGCAACUAAUAACAGCAACAACACUCAAACUUUAGGCCAUAAACAAAUGUCUUGUAGCGAAGAAUUUAACCUGACAUGUUGAAAGAUAAUCAGAACUGCUAAUUCAAAUGAUUUGCAGAAGAUACGAAAAGCAGCUUUAUACCUGAUAGUGCCGUAAUUCUGGAUUUGUUAAACAAAGUCAAAACUAAGAAUACUGUACAAGUUAUGUCAGAUAGUUACAUGGGCCAAGGAAUGCACAAUUAGAUUGGCAAACAAACUCAUUAGAAAUCUAUGUACUGUACUUACCUGUACAUUUGCAAAGAUGUGUCGCUGGGGGUGCACGACUGUAGAUACGACUUACAUGUGCAAGUGGUGUGGAACAAGGUACUGUAAAGAAUGCCUUAAAGGGGACUUUACAGGGGUGAUGAAGGAAGCUGACAAGUGCAGAAAAUGUUUCCAGAGGAAAUGUCAAGGUCAGAGGGUAGAGUUUGUGCCCAGAGCCCCUUCUAAUCCAUCUGAGAAGAGGCCAAAGAGCAGAAAAUCUAAAUCUCCCAAGAAGAAACAAUCAAAAGGCAAAAAGAAACUGGGAAAAAAGAAGAGAUAAUAAAUGAUCGUUAAACAAUAUACGCAGGUUGGCACCUCCAGUGUUUGAUAACUCCUUCUGGAUUUAGAGGCACAAAACAGUUAACACCUGACUUGGAAAAAAACACAUCUAAUUUCACUUUUUAGCCACUUAAUUAGUUCACUUAAGUCUUUCUGAGAUGGAAAGAAAAUCAGAGUGGCAGGAGAGAAGUGUUGUAGGAACUAGACACAUUAAUCCAAUUAACAUUUAUAACAUUGCUAUUUCUACACCACCUUGAAAUGCUGUAGAUGAGUUUGUCCAUCGCAUAUGCAGACACGUUUUUUUGUCAUUCUUGUAUUUUCCCUUAUGCGGGUGUGACUCUGCUUGAAGGCUGUUUGGGACAAGAGUGCUUGUUUCAAAUAUGGAUUAUGAAAGGGUAUAUGUUGUAAUUGGCUGCUUUGUUGGUAAGAUCUCAUAGUAAAAUGAGUUAGUAAAGUAAUAAAAUGUUAAAUGAUAGUAAAAUGAUCAACAUCAGGCAUAUAGUCAGCUGGAAAUUGAACAUUCUUGAUGAAACUACAGUAGGUGCACUUUAUAGACUGCAUUCCUGGAUUCAUUAAUUUAAUGUAUUCAAGUAACAAAGUCAGUACUAAGCUCAGACUUUUUCAGAGCACCAUGGUUCAUCAAGUUUGAUUGUUCAUAAUUAAUAUUGGGAAGUACAGAAUUCACCUAAAUGAAUACAAGAGAAUUAAAGGCUUCACUAACUGUUCACGAAAAUUAAAAAUAGACCUGGACUUUUAUUGAUAGUUUUAAUUUGGAGCAAUUGGUCUAGUCCACAAUAUCCAUCCAUGCAGUUUCUAAUUGCUUUAUCCAAUAGAGAGUCAUAGGGGAGCCAGAGUCUAUCCUGGCAAGCUGGAUAAAGUGGUUGGAAAAUGGAAGGACAUGAUUUAGCUAUGCUUUUGAAUUUUAACACUAGAAGCUACGUUAAGACACAACAAUAUUUAUCACAGACUACAAAGUAUUUGGAAAGCUCACAAAUCCCAAUACAAAUUGCACAAAGUAUCUUUUUCCAUCACGGAAGAAGAAAGAAGAGCUCAGUUAUCUCAAUUUGUAAACACUCCUCUCACACAAAGUCCUGUCCUGUAAUUUAGACCAUAGAUCUAAAAGUUUAUUCCCCGAGAGCCUAUUUUUCUGUUCUACCAGAACUCUAUUUGCACAGUUGGCCUACCUAUUUAAAAGCAUAAUUGAAAUCUUUCUAACUGGGAUUUGAGUUGUUAUAUAAAUAGAUCAAAUUGAAUGAAGUGAAUGUUCUUAAGCAUAAAAAACUUAAAUAAAAUCCCUAUGCACAAGAAAAAUGUUUAAUGGACUAGUCAUAUUGUAGGUUCUGAGAGUUGAGUUUGACACCCAUGGUCUAGACUUGGUCAGUUUGAGACUGGAAUGUCCACAGUAAUGCCCGAUAUCUGGUGAAUGAUUAAUCAAGCACCAUGCAGUUAGGUUGACGGGUUGAUUGGGAGGUAUGCUCAGCUUGUCCUGUGGCCCCUUUGACCUCCUGAGUGAUCGCAAGCUGCAUCACCCCUCCAGUCAAUGCUGCCUCUGGGAUAAGAGUCAUGAAGCUCAUAGAGAGUAAAGGGCAAAUGGCUUUGAUGAACGUUAAUUUCCUUUCU